GUUGCUUGUAGCUUAAUGGCAGAGCCUCCGGCUGUGAUCCGGUCUGUGUCGGUUCGAUUCCGACCUCGCAACC
rnacentral:tRNA from 1 species